rnacentral:rRNA from 1 species
AGAGUUUGAUCCUGGCUCAGGAUAAACGCUGGCGGCGCACAUAAGACAUGCAAGUCGAACGGACUAUACUUAUUCUUAACGAUUAAGUAGAUGUUAGUGGCGGACUGGUGAGUAACACGUAAGCAACCUACCUAUAAGAGGGGAAUAACAGUGAGAAAUCAUUGCUAAUACCGCAUAAGCUCACAGUAGCACAUGCUACAGAGAGAAAAGGAGCAAUCCGCUUAUAGAUGGGCUUGCGGCUGAUUAGCUAGUUGGUGAGAUAAAAGCUCACCAAGGCGACGAUCAGUAGCCGGACUGAGAGGUUGAACGGCCACAUUGGGACUGAGAUACGGCCCAGACUCCUACGGGAGGCAGCAGUCGGGAAUAUUGCGCAAUGGAGGGAACUCUGACGCAGUGACGCCGCGUAUAGGAAGAAGUUUUUCGGAAUGUAAACUAUUGUCAUUAGGGAAGAGGAAGGACGGUACCUAAGGAGGAAGCCCCGGCUAACUAUGUGCCAGCAGCCGCGGUAAUACAUAGGGGGCGAGCGUUAUCCGGAAUUAUUGGGUGUAAAGGGUGCGUAGACGGGGAUGUAAGUUAGUUGUGAAAGGCCUUGGCUUAACUGAGGAACUGCAACUAAAACUACAUUUCUUGAGUACUGGAGAGGAAAGUGGAAUUCCUAGUGUAGCGGUGAAAUGCGUAGAUAUUAGGAGGAAUACCGGUGGCGAAGGCGACUUUCUGGACAGAAACUGACGUUGAGGCACGAAAGCGUGGGGAGCAAACAGGAUUAGAUACCCUGGUAGUCCACGCUGUAAACGAUGGAU